AUUCAUCACAAGUAAGAUACUCAUAAGUUGACACAGAAAUUUUUUUUCGUGAAUAUUACAAUACUGGCAAUAUAAUUCAAAAUGAUACCAUUUAUUUCACGUUACUUGCCGUUUCAGGUACCCAUCAUUGAUCGAAAAAUUACAACUGGCUAAAAUAUUAUUAUUGCUUUUCCACAACUGAAAAAUUUAAGAUAUGUUACGGAGAGCCCUGAAGAGUCUUUAUUUUUCUGGAAAAAUGGUGGCAAGGGAAAGCAAAUAAUAUGAGAAAAGAUGUACCGAAAGACGAACGAAAAUAUCGAAAGCAUAUUAAAGAACCUGAUGUUCCUGUAGAUGAGGAUAUAAUCGAGACAGCGCAAAUUUGUGCAGCUCUCACAGCAAAUGCCGAAAAUAUUAAACGUAUUAGCGAUAUGAUGAAACAUUCGUUUGUGUAUCAUCAACGGUUGCUGAAUUCUAAAUCGACUGCUGCAAAUAUUAUAGAAGUGUUUCCACAUAUCCUUAACUUCAAUGGGACAAUGCUUCAACAAGCGUUCGAGCGUUGCACCAAGCAGCUUAAUCCCAGUGCUGACAUCUCCGGCACUUUUCGAAAAUGUCUGUUACUAGAAGAAGGAAUCUUCAAUGAAGUGGAAGAUCGAGACAUUAGAGGAGCUUUGAAGGCUUUGACUUAUUUGACCGCAAGAGGAGUGAAACGUGAUUUAUUCGGACUAGAUAUGAGUCCUGCCGCUACUGUUGCUUCGCCUCUAAUCAAAUGAAUACCGGAAGCAGAACGGCUACCAAAUGUACAACUUCCGUCACCACAUCCGUCAAUAAUUUGUUUAUCAGAACAGUGGAAAAAGG